AGAUGUGGUUCUGACAUCUGUCACCCUAUUGAUUGUCAGGACUAAUCCUCCCGAGCUGGCUGACAAGGUGAGUGUCUUACCCUAUUCUGUGUUCGUUGCAGAAAACAGGUGCUCAGAGAAUGUGUUUUCCAGGUGGGAACUGUUCCUUUAGUCAAGGGUGUAUAAGUUGUUUCUCUUGUUAUAAUCUCUAAACAAACUAUUAAGUUCGUUACUUACUUUAUUACACAUUCCACUGUAAGAAACAUCUUUGUGCAUGUAGCUUUUUA
rnacentral:snRNA from 1 species